CUGCAUUAUUUAAUAAACCCAUUGCUAUCGGCAAGUUUCCUGCAUAUUGGAAGUAUGCAAACAUCGUUCCCGUUCCCCAAAACAACAAAACUCGUACUGUCAGUAAUUACCGUCCAAUUUCAUUAUUAUCUCUCGUGUCUAAAGCUCUUGAGCAUGUGGUCCAUAACCGAGUCUUAUAUAUUGCCAAACCUUUUCUUCAUGACCAACAACACGGCUUACGUUCGGAAAAAUCUUGCAUUACUCAGCUUUUUGACGUUGUUUACAACAUUGGGAAGGCGUUAGAUUGUGGUAAAGAAAUGGACAUUAUCUAUUUUAGAUUUCUCCAAAGCUUUCGAUUCGGUAUCUCACGAUAAACUGAUUUUUAAACUCUCCCAAUUCGGUAUUACUGGACCGCUCUUAGACUGGUUUUCUGACUGUCUGUCUGGACGUAAACAGCGCGUGGUAGUUGACGGUUUCUCGUCAAGUUACCUAGAUAUAACACCUGAUGUUCCUCAAUGCAGCAUUGUUGGCCCAUUGCUUUUCUUGAUCUACGUUAACGACCUUCCUGACGCAGCAAAACACAUCAAAGUACCAAUGUUUGCCAACGACAGUAAAUGCUAUAAAAUCAUAAACAAUCCACACGACUCUAAUCUCCUCCAAUCAGAUCUUCAAGCCCUGUGUCUUUGGUCUUCUACUUCGAAGUUAAAGUUCAACUUGAAGAAAUGUUCUGGAAUAAGAUUUUCGCGGAAACGUUGUAUUGAGCUCCCGAUUACUUUUUAGACUCCGGUCAGAUCCUUUUUAAACCAACUCAAAAGGAUCGAGGUAUACGUAUUACGAAUAGUCUAAAAUGGUCACCUCGUAUUUCCAACAUUGUUUCCAAAGCAAACCGCAUGCUUGCAUUUCUACGACGUAACUGCACAUAUUUAACUGAUUUUUUAUAAAUUGUCGACGCUCUCUCUAUUUGACGCUUGUUCGUACACACCUGUGUUAUGGCAGUGAAAUUUGGGCACCCCAAACAACAUCUAGGGUCCUUCUUUGUCUAGAAAUUGUCCAAAGACGAGUGACUAAUUAUAUCCUUCAAGACUGAAGACUUCACCUCAUCUUACACCAACCGUUUAAAGCAAUUUAAUCUACUGCCUAUUUCAUACUGGUUCGAAGUAAAAGAUAUUACUUUUUUUAUAAAUAUAAAGCUGGUUAUUAUGACUUAACACUUGAAGACUAUAUACCAGACAAUUCUACUAAUCAUCACACUCGCUUUAGCUCUAUACUGAUUCAUACCGACCAAACCGUUGCAGAACAUCUUCUUUCCCAAACCUAUUUUUCAAUAGGAUAGUGCCACUAUGGAACAGCCUGCCAGGAGAAAUAAAAUCCUCUCUCUCCAUCCAGUCACUGAAACGUAAACUCUAUAAUCACUACACUCAAAAAGUUAAUGCAUGUUUUGGUGUUAAUAGGCCAAGGACAUGGAAAACGUUUUGCUCUAAAUGUCGUUCUUGUUUUAUGUCUUGUUGUUCGUAGAAGUGCAUGUUCUGAGUUUUUGUACGAAUGUAAUUAUGUGUAAUAUCGUAAAUAUGUAACUAGCUAUGUAUUUUGUUAAUUUUAUAGCCGUUAUACUAUUGUUCCCAGUAAACUGCGAAACGACCGUUUCUUUAGGCGCUUUGUCAGUGACAGUUUUGUUAAUUACGAAGGACAUAUUUGUGUAAAUUACCUCGUGAUCACAAUUCGUUGCAAGCGGCGUGUGAAAAACUGCAAGUUUCAGUUUGACAGUUCUGACAGUUAAAUGGUUUCUAACUUUAUUCUCCAAUCAGGUGCGUAGUUUUGAUUUAAAAUUCAAAACUACGCAUCUGAUUGGACAAUAAAAUUAGAAACCAUUUAACUGAAACUUGCAGUU
rnacentral:lncRNA from 1 species